UGUAAAUGUGGGAGUCGAGCCAAGCUUUCACUAGUAGAUAUUGUUGUUACAAAACAACAUAUUGACACUUGUAAAUAUGCAACAGUAUCAAGGCUCCCUAAUUCUUUACAAUCAAAUAAUAAUCCUAUCCCCCAAAUACCUCAAAUUAGGACAACAGAUGCAACAGUAUCAAGG